rnacentral:rRNA from 1 species
GCUUACGGCCAUGUCAGCCUGGGUACGCCCCGAUCUCGUCUGAUCUCGGAAGCUAAGCAGGGUCGGGCCUGGUUAGUACUUGGAUGGGAGACCGCCUGGGAAUACCAGGUGCUGUAAGCA